rnacentral:rRNA from 1 species
CACUCCUACGGGAGGCAGCAGUGGGGAAUAUUGGACAAUGGGCGCAAGCCUGAUCCAGCCAUGCCGCGUGAGUGAUGAAGGCCCUAGGGUUGUAAAGCUCUUUCACCGGUGAAGAUAAUGACGGUAACCGGAGAAGAAGCCCCGGCUAACUUCGUGCCAGCAGCCGCGGUAAUACGAAGGGGGCUAGCGUUGUUCGGAUUUACUGGGCGUAAAGCGCACGUAGGCGGACUAUUAAGUCAGGGGUGAAAUCCCGGGGCUCAACCCCGGAACUGCCUUUGAUACUGGUAGUCUUGAGUUCGAGAGAGGUGAGUGGAAUUCCGAGUGUAGAGGUGAUAUUCGUAGAUAUUCGGAGGAACACCAGUGGCGAAGGCGGCUCACUGGCUCGAUACUGACGCUGAGGUGCGAAAGCGUGGGGAGCAAACAGGAUUAGAAACCCUUGUAGUCCC